rnacentral:rRNA from 1 species
UACGGGGGGAGCAAGCGUUGUUCGGAUUUACUGGGCGUAAAGGGCGCGUAGGCGGUCAGCACAAGUCAGUUGUGAAAUCUCCGGGCUUAACUCGGAAAGGUCAACUGAUACUGUGCGACUAGAGUGCAGAAGGGGCAACUGGAAUUCUCGGUGUAGCGGUGAAAUGCGUAGAUAUCGGGAAGAACACCGAUGGCGAAGGCAGCCAUCUGGACCGACACUGACGCUGAGGCGCGAAAGCUAGGGGAGCAAACAGG